AGGCUUAACACAUGCAAGUCGAACGAUGACUCUCUAGCUUGCUAGAGAUGAUUAGUGGCGGACGGGUGAGUAACAUUUAGGAAUCUACCUAGUAGUGGGGGAUAGCUCGGGGAAACUCGAAUUAAUACCGCAUACGACCUACGGGUGAAAGGGGGCGCAAGCUCUUGCUAUUAGAUGAGCCUAAAUCAGAUUAGCUAGUUGGUGGGGUAAAGGCCCACCAAGGCGACGAUCUGUAACUGGUCUGAGAGGAUGAUCAGUCACACCGGAACUGAGACACGGUCCGGACUCCUACGGGAGGCAGCAGUGGGGAAUAUUGGACAAUGGGGGCAACCCUGAUCCAGCCAUGCCGCGUGUGUGAAGAAGGCCUUUUGGUUGUAAAGCACUUUAAGCAGGGAGGAGAGGCUAAUGGUUAAUACCCAUUAGAUUAGACGUUACCUGCAGAAUAAGCACCGGCUAACUCUGUGCCAGCAGCCGCGGUAAUACAGAGGGUGCGAGCGUUAAUCGGAAUUACUGGGCGUAAAGCGAGUGUAGGUGGCUCAUUAAGUCACAUGUGAAAUCCCCGGGCUUAACCUGGGAACUGCAUGUGAUACUGGUGGUGCUAGAAUAUGUGAGAGGGAAGUAGAAUUCCAGGUGUAGCGGUGAAAUGCGUAGAGAUCUGGAGGAAUACCGAUGGCGAAGGCAGCUUCCUGGCAUAAUACUGACACUGAGAUUCGAAAGCGUGGGUAGCAA
rnacentral:rRNA from 1 species